UGGAAACAGGCAGAGUGUAGUGAAUGAUUCUAGGAGUGAACUACAAACAUCCCUUCAAAUGAUGUCUGACCAAAGAGAAUAUUCUGGACCAACAACUCCCUUCGUCUGAACAUUCUGCUUUAUUCAGUGUAGCCCAAGGCUGUUAUCAGCUCAGAAAAUCAUCAGUAGAAUGAAGUGAAGGUGAAGGCAGUUACCGGUGGCCAGAAUGCAUGUGAGAGGUGUGUCCCAACACACACAGAGGCCCCUGGCAGAGUGGGAUGCUGGUUGGUUCCAUACAGACCUUCCCUCUGGGAUCGUCUUUCUUCUGGAAGGACAUCCAUCUGAGCUUCCUAUAGUGGGUGUCUUUUGGUGACCCUCAAUUUUGCAUUUAUCUGAGAAUCAGUUUGAUGAAGUCAGAAUUGUAAGCAAAACAAAGAGGUUGCUUGGAAUGAAGGUGGUAAGAGAGGCAAAAACAGAUGUGAAGCAACCUCAGGAACAGAACAAAAAUAACAAUUGUUGUGAGACAAUAUUUUUGCAAUUUCAUCUAGGAUUUGACAUUUGGAUUUGUUGCCUUCAUUUAAAAAGUGCUCCUAUAGUAGCAGAAAAAGUAGCUAUCAAGUGAGUUAUUUCAUACCUGGAUCUUCAGAAGAGCAGAUGUCGGCUCAAUUAGAAGAACUGGAAAUGUUACACAGCACAAAAUGGAUUCACCACAGAAAAAGAUUUUAAAAGGAGAAAAUGGACAAGGAAGAAGAAUCACAAUGAAAUAAACACUUUAGAAAACUGGCAUUUUCUAAUAAAGGUGCCAAUAUGUGAAGACUUUAUGCGAGGCUAAUGCAAUGACACAGAGAACAAAUGGUUAUUCACAAGGCGGCCCCAGUGACAGGAGAGAGCUUCUUCCCUUUCUGCCUUGUGAGGAUGGAGAAGACUGGCCAUCUGUAACCCAGGGCUCUCAAGAGACACCGGGUCUACCUGUGCCUCCAUCUCAGACCUCCAGCCCCGGAACUGAAGGGGGCAUGUCUCUGGUUUAAGCCGACUCUCCGUGGUGUUAGUAGGAGCCUCCUGAACUAAGGCAGCAUUUUCAUGGAUUAUUCUCUAAGGUUUACUGUUAUAGAGAAAUGUCUUGCGUGGCUAAAUAAAAAAAACGAAUAUACAGAUAUAUCGGUAAAUGUUGAAUGAAACCACACCAGCCAAGUUUCCCUUCAGUUUUGAAGAUUGUACCCAUGAGUUUUAUCGGUUUUAAAAUUCAUCUUUAUGACUGUAGAGGUUAGAUCGUUUCUGUGCCUUCCUUUCCUGCAGAAGAAAUAAAAUCAUGUGUUUCUACAUCAGAGUUUUGUACUGUUCUCUGAAAUGAAGAUAAUCCUCCAUUUGUGGAUCUGCAAGUCAUUAUGUAUCUGUCAUGUCUGGGCAGCAGAUAAAUUGAAG